rnacentral:lncRNA from 1 species
AAUCCCUGGCCCCAGAACUUCCACCCACUUCAGGUGUGACCAUUCCCCGCCCCCCAAAAUGUGCAAAGAACAUGAAUAGCCAAUUCAUAAUAGAGGAAAUCUGACUGGCCAACAAAACACAUUUUAAAAAAAAAUGGAAUUCCCAUUCAGGCUCAGCGGAAGUGAAUUUGACUAGCAUCCAUGAGGAUGCAGCUUCGAUCCCUGGCCUCGUUCAGUGAGUUAAGGAUCCAGCACUGCCAUGAGCUGUGGUAUAGGUCACAGAUGCGGCUGAGAUCUGGCAUUGCUGCGGCUGCAGUGUAGGCUGGACCUACAGCUCCAAUUUGGCCCCUAGCCUGAGAAUCUCUAUAUGCCUCGGGUGCGGCCCUAAAAUAAAAAGACCCCCCAAAAAAUGUAUACAGACAUUUGUGUGUGUGUGUGUGUAAAACUUUUACUACCUCUCUUCUUAGCUUUGGGCUUCUAAGCAAACAUUAAGGCAAGGGGAGCAGUCUCAUUAAAGCCUUCACACUGCCUUACCUCCAAGGCUCUAUCAUGUACCGCUCACUGCUCUCUCUGCCUGAAAUUCCUCAGCUCUUCUCCAAUUUGCCCCACCGUGGGGCAAAUUGGAUUAGCUAACUGGUGUGCAUCCUCCAGGAAGCUUUCCUUGCCAUCUCAUGACCACGAGGUGGCCCUGCUCCUGAUUCUUUAUCCUCCCAAAGCAACUGGCUGCUCUUUAUGACUGAGAGUACAUUAAGGCAGUAUGCCCUUUUUAGAAAUCUCCUACAUGCCUAAUAUUCUUUUUCCCCUGAUUUUAAUGAUUCAUGCUUUUUAUGAGCUAAAUUAUGUCCAUUCCCCUCUCCCCAAUGCAUGUGCUGAAGCCCCAACUCCCAGUAUGAUGGUAUUUGGACAUGGGGCUUGCUUCUGUAGCAAGUUCCAAGUUACUGUUUUGUUCUCAUAGUUCCUCUAUUAAUUUGCUAAUGUAACACUCUUAAUUACUGCUGAUCUAAAUUAUAUUAAAUAUCUGAUAGUACAUUUAAUUUACAGAUCAUCCCAUUGUUUUUUACAUAUUUUCGUCAUUAUGCUCACAUUUAUUUUACUGAAUGAAUUCUGCAAUAUUUUGGCACUCUCCCAACAUGUCCCAAAGAAGUUCAAGUGGAAAGUCUACCAAAGGAGGAUUUAGAGAAAAAGAUAAAAUCUGUUUUUUCUAUCCAAGAACACGUUAUUUCCACUCAAUAUAUUUUUAUCUCUCAAUUAAAAUGUUAUAGUUUUCCACUAAUUCAAAAAGAUACGGGCAACCCAAUAUUCAUAGCAGCAUUAUUUACAAUAGCCAAGACAUGGAGACAACCAAGGUGUCUAUCAAGGGAUGGAUAAGAGUUCCCAUUGUGGCUCAGUAGGUAAAGAACUGGACAAAAUUUCCUUGAGGAUGCAUAUUCAGUCCCUGGCCUCACUCAGUGGGUUAAAUAUCUGGCAAUGCCGCAAGCUGCAGCAUAGGUCACAGACAUGGCUUGGAUCUGGUGUUGCUGUGGCUGUGGUAUAGGCUGGCAGCUACAGCUCUGAUUCAACCCCUAGCCCAGGAACUUCCAUAUGCUGCAGGUGUUACUGUUAAAAAGAAAAAAAAAAAAAAGGGAGAAAGAUGAGUAGAUAAAUAUGGGAGGUGGAAUACUUCUCAGCCAUGAAAAGUAUAAAAUUUUGCCAUGGAUGGACUUGGAGAGUAUUAUGCUUAGUGAACUAAGACAGACAGAGAAAGACAAAUAUUCUAUGUUAUCACUUACAUGUGGAACCUAAAAAAUAAAACUAGUGAUUAUAACAAAAAAGAACCAGAUUCACCAGAUUCACCAAUAUAGAGAACAAACCAGUUAUUACCAGUGGGGAGAGGGACUUGGAAAGGGGCAAGACAGGGAUAGGAGGUUAAGAGGUAACACUACUAUGUAUAAGAUAAACAAACUGCGAGGAUAUAUUAUACAGCACAUUAUUUUAUAAUGACUUUAAAUGGAAUAUAAUCUAUAAAAAACACUGAAUCAUUGUUAUAUACCUGAAACAAAUAUAAUACUGUAAAUCAACUAUAUUUCAGUAAAGUUAUAGUUUUCUCCGUAAGGUAUAUUCCUCAUGAAAAUUAUUCCAAUGAACUAUAAAAAUCACUGUGAAUGGAAUUUCAUUUUUCCAUUAGAAUUUCUUCUUUCUUUCCCUCUUCCUCCCUCCCUCUCUUUCUUUCCUUUUCUCCUUUUCCUUCCUUCUCUUUCUCUCCCUCCCUCCCUGUUUUUAUUUCUCCUUAGGUAGAUUUAAUUGUAAUAUAACAUACAUUUAGAAAACCUGAAAUCAUAAGUGUUUACUAUACUGAAAAUUUACACUGAACACAACCUUGUAACUAGCACCCGGGUCAGGAAACAGAAUAUAACACUUCCCAAGCUCUACUCCCCAAGCACUGGAAUAACCAACAUCCUCAGAUAACAUCAGGGGUAAAUUUUGCCUGUUUUUGAAAUUUAUAUAAAUGAAAGCAUUCAGUUUGUACAUUUUGGAGGUCUGUCCUCUAUGAUAUUAUGAUUUAUAAUAAGAAAUAUACAUUUGGAUACAUUUAGUCCUCCUUCCAUUCCUGGCACAGAGCUCCUACAACCUCAAAUAGCUCCAGUUCCUGAAAUAGCUCCAAAGUGAUGAAGGUCAAAUGCAUGUCUUAUGAUUCAAACAAGCCCCUUUCAGUCACUUCUGAGUUUAUGGUAACAAGGUGACUUUUGAAAAGCCCCUAAGGGUAGAGACUGGUUGCCAAGGAAACCAACCACAUGAUUAGAGUAUUAGCAUUUUCAGCCCCACCUCCCAGCCUCUCUGGAGGGAAAAGGGGCUGGAGAUUGACCCACUCACUAAGGGAGACAAUGUUUAAUUAAUUGUGUUUAUGUAAUGAAGCCUCCAUAAAAGCCCAACACAGGGCCCAGAGAGCUUCUAGGUGGUGAACACGCACAGGACCAAGGGCUAGGUGGGGGUCACACUCCACGAGGAGAAAUUUCUGUGCUUGAGAUCCUUCCAGACCUUUCCCAAUGUACCUCUUCAUUUGAUGGUCAUAUUCCUUUCAUGUCCCUUUGUCAUAGAUUGGUGAUGUAGGAAGUAAACUGCUUUCCUGAAUUCUGUGCGACACCCUUACAAUUAAUCAAACCCAAGGUGGAAAUCAUGAGAACCUCCAAUUCAUAGUCAGUUGGUCAGGUGACAACCUGAACGUACAACUGGUGCCUAAAAGUGUAGGGAUGGUCUUGUGGGACUGAGCCCUUAUCCUGUGGGGUCUGAUGCUAUAACAUCAGAAUUAAGCUAAAUUGUAGAACACCCACCUGGUGUGCAGAGAAUCUAAAGAAUUGCUUGGUAUGGGAAAAUCCCCACACACUUGAAGCACUGAGAAUACUUAAAAUAAUAAAGUAUUUAGAGUCAGUGAGUAAACAAGUGUUUUUGCUACACCUGUUUCACUCAGCAUGUGUGUUAAUUUGUCCAGCUUGUUGUUUGCUUAUUCUUACUGCCAUGUGAUAUCACUGUACCAUCACAUAUUUAUCCAUUUUACUGUAUACAGACAGUUUAGGUUGUUCUCAGUUUGGGGAUAUUAUAAAUAGUGCUGUAGAGUGUAUUAUUUUCUUAUUUUCCCACCCAUUCUAAAUAUUUUAAAUGUUAGAAAGAUUUCUAAAUAUACUACCCUAGCUUUUGGUGAACAUAUGCAUCCUCUUUUUUUUUUUUUUUUUGCUUUUUAGGGCCAUACCCAUGGCAUACGGAAGUUCUUAGGCCAGGGGUUGAAUUGCAGCUACAGCGUCCAAUCUAUACAACAGCCACAGCAAAGCCAGAUCCAAGCCGCAUCUGCAACCUACACCACAGCUCACAGCAACGCCAGAUCCUUAACCCAAGGAGUAAGGCCAGGGGUUGAACCUGCAUCCUCAUGGACACUAGUUGGGUUCAUUACCACUGUGCCACAACAG